GCAUACUGGACACCACCUACUCCUUCAUAUUUGAUGUGGUCAGACCACUGUGAAAGAAGGCCUAGGGCUUAACCUUAGAUACCAAUCAUAAACAAGACGAUUUCUUUCUGGAACUAUGAAUACAAUGGAAGUAACACCUGCUGAAGCCCCAAAACAUGAGGUACCAACUAAUUCCAUAUUAGAUUUUAUUUAUUCGUCAGAGAGAGAGAGCACAAGCAAGGGGAGCAGCAGAGGGAG